AAAUCGAUAGUUUCGGGUACUUGUGAUAAUAGGUGUCGUCUGUAAUCAAACAACCAACCACGUCGGCAUUAAUCAGCUGAUAAGGCGUAGAUGUCAUCGGAUAAAAUAUAUUUUGAAAUUUAGUCAUUGUCGAAACAACUUGUGAAACUUCUACACAAUGUGCGACUGUCUUAAAUCAGUAUUCUGUUGCUUAUGCAACUUGAGUAUGAGCAUAUUAUGCUGUUUGGGCGUAGUUGGUGUACUAAUUUUGGCAGCAAUUGGUGUAGGACUAUACUUUGGCCUUAAGGAUGGACCACCUGAUCAUUAAUAGUUUAAGAUUCAUACAAACCAGACACGCAAAAUCAUAAUCUCAAUAUCGCGAUCAUUAUAGUUUAAGGAAAUUAUAAUAUUCAUCAUUAUCAAUAAAUAUAUGCUACAUAAUAGUUUAAUCUUUGUUAUAUAUGUAAAGUUCUAGUGUAACUCAAAUACUUUAAUUUGUUCUAAAAAAAGUAUGUAUCUCAAAUA